CGUAGGUGCGAGCGUUGUCCGGAAUUAUUGGGCGUAAAGAGCUCGUAGGCGGCGUGUCGCGUCGAUUGUGAAAGCCCGGGGCUUAACUCCGGGUCUGCAGUCGAUACGGGCAUGCUCGAGUUCGGCAGGGGAGACUGGAAUUCCUGGUGUAGCGGUGAAAUGCGCAGAUAUCAGGAGGAACACCGGUGGCGAAGGCGGGUCUCUGGGCCGAUACUGACGCUGAGGAGCGAAAGCGUGGGAGCGAACAGGAUU
rnacentral:rRNA from 1 species